rnacentral:rRNA from 1 species
GACGAACGCUGGCGGCGUGCCUAAUACAUGCAAGUAGAACGCUGAAGGAGGAGCUUGCUUCUCUGGAUGAGUUGCGAACGGGUGAGUAACGCGUAGGUAACCUGCCUGGUAGCGGGGGAUAACUAUUGGAAACGAUAGCUAAUACCGCAUAACAGUAGAUGUUGCAUGACAUUUGCUUAAAAGGUGCAAUUGCAUCACUACCAGAUGGACCUGCGUUGUAUUAGCUAGUUGGUGGGGUAACGGCUCACCAAGGCGACGAUACAUAGCCGACCUGAGAGGGUGAUCGGCCACACUGGGACUGAGACACGGCCCAGACUCCUACGGGAGGCAGCAGUAGGGAAUCUUCGGCAAUGGACGGAAGUCUGACCGAGCAACGCCGCGUGAGUGAAGAAGGUUUUCGGAUCGUAAAGCUCUGUUGUAAGAGAAGGACGGGUGUGAGAGUGGAAAGUUCACAC